rnacentral:misc_RNA from 1 species
UGCCACUAUCCUGUCUCCCCUUCUCCCUUCCUUUUCUCCUCCUAUUCUUUUUUGUCAGCCAGACACUCAACUCUCCUCCUCUUUUCUAUUUUGUCUGAUACACCCAUUGAGUUUCAUAGCAUAACAGUGUGUUGCAGAUGUUUUAUCCAAUACGCACUAUAACAGACAACGCCCAUGAUUCCUGGAUUCACUAAUCUGUAACACCUAAUGCUAUAUUGGCUGAUCAUUUUUCUGAUGCAAUCCAGCUAUAAGGAAGACAUGCCCUUUAAAAAAAAUUGGAUUCCAACUAUUCAUAAGCAUAACCUUCUGUGAACUGAUAAGUCACUGUAAUUAUAAUAGAAAAUGGGUGAA